rnacentral:lncRNA from 1 species
GUGGGGUCUUCCACAACGGUCUCAAGAUCUGCGAGAAGUUUGGGCCCAAUCUGGACACGUGCCCUGAAGGCACCAUCCUGGGACUGCGGCUGGACAGCUCUGGGGGGCUGCAUCUUCAUGUUAAUGGGGUGGACCAGGGGGUAGCUGUGCCAGAUGUGCCCCAGCCCUGCCAUGCGCUUGUGGACCUCUAUGGGCAGUGUGAGCAGGUGACAAUCGUGAACCCUGAGCCAGGGGCUGCCAGUGGGAAAAGUGCUGGAACCCAAGGGGACAUGGAGAAAGCAGACAUGGUGGACGGUAUCAAAGAGAGUGUGUGCUGGGGUCCACCACCUGCCGCUAGUCCUCUAAAGAGCUGCGAGUACCAUGCCCUUUGCUCUCGCUUCCAAGAACUCCUGCUGCUUCCCGAAGAUUAUUUCAUGCCUCCGCCAAAGCGAAGCCUGUGCUACUGUGAGUCUUGCCGGAAGCUGCGAGGAGACGAGGCCCACAGGCGCAGAGGGGAGCCUCCCCGGGAAUAUGCACUGCCCUUUGGCUGGUGCAGGUUCAACCUCAGAGUGAAUCCCCGCCUGGAGGCUGGGACACUAACCAAGAAGUGGCACAUGGCAUAUCACGGGAGCAAUGUUGCCGCUGUACGGAGAGUGCUGGACCGAGGGGAGCUGGGAGCAGGUACUGCCUCCAUCCUGAGCUGCCGUCCUUUGAAGGGAGAACCUGGGGUAGGGUUCGAGGAGCCUGGCGAGAACUGUGCACCUCCUCGGGAGGAGCAGCCCCCUCCUGUGCUGCUUUCCCCCUCCCUUCAAUAUGCUGGGGCGGAGACCCUGGCCUCCAAAGUGCAAUUCCGGGACCCCAAAUCCCAGCGGACGCACCAGGCUCAGGUGGCGUUCCAGGAGCCAAUAAACACCGUCUCAGAGCCUCCGCCUCGGCCUCUCUCUCGCGCGCCCCUCUCCGGAGCCCGCGUCCCCUGGGGUGCCACCAGGUGGGCCCGCGAAAUUAAAGAGAGCUGAGGAUGCCAAGGCCAGUCUGCAGCCGUCGUCGCUCACGUUCCCGGCGACGGGGUUUGUACGCCGCGGGCACCCGUCGCAGCGCGCUUCCGCCUUCUUUCACCUGUGAGGUCGGCCGCCGCCGUGACUCCGGAAGGACUCGGCCGGGCCGCCGGAUGUGACGCAGGGGCCAGGGCGCGUCGGAGCCGCUGAGAAAGCGCAGAGAAGGCGGGCCCCGUCUGAGGUCUGGCAGUCAGAGACAGCCGGGCGCCCACGGCCCGAGCGCCCACGGCAGCACCAUGCCCGCACUCCUGGAGCGCCCCAAGCUUUCCAACGCCAUGGCCAGGGCGCUGCACCGGCACAUUAUGAUGGAGCGGGAGCGCAAGCGGCAGGAGGAAGAAGAGGUGGAUAAGAUGAUGGAACAGAAGAUGAAGGAAGAACAGGAGAGAAGGAAGAAAAAGGAGAUGGAAGAGAGAAUGUCAUUAGAGGAGACCAAGGAACAAAUUCUGAAGUUGGAGGAGAAGCUUUUGGCUCUACAGGAAGAGAAGCACCAGCUUUUCCUGCAGCUCAAGAAAGUUUUACAUGAGGAAGAAAAACGGAGGCGAAAGGAACAGAGUGACCUGACCACCCUAACAUCAGCUGCAUACCAGCAGAGCCUGACUGUUCACACAGGAACUCAUCUCCUCAGCAUGCAGGGGAGCCCUGGAGGACACAAUCGCCCAGGCACCCUCAUGGCAGCUGACAGAGCCAAACAAAUGUUUGGACCCCAAGUGCUUACGACCCGGCACUACGUGGGCUCAGCAGCUGCUUUUGCAGGGACACCAGAGCAUGGACAAUUCCAAGGCAGUCCUGGUGGUGCCUAUGGGACUGCUCAGCCCCCACCUCACUAUGGGCCCACACAGCCAGCUUAUAGUCCUAGUCAGCAGCUCAGAGCUCCUUCGGCAUUCCCUGCAGUGCAGUACCUAUCUCAGCCACAGCCACAGCCCUAUGCUGUGCAUGGCCACUUUCAGCCCACUCAGACAGGUUUCCUCCAGCCUGGUGGUGCCCUGUCCUUGCAAAAGCAGAUGGAACAUGCUAACCAGCAGACUGGCUUCUCCGACUCAUCCUCUCUGCGCCCCAUGCACCCCCAGGCUCUGCAUCCAGCCCCUGGACUCCUUGCUUCCCCCCAGCUCCCUGUGCAGAUGCAGCCAGCAGGAAAGUCGGGCUUUGCAGCUACCAGCCAACCUGGCCCUCGGCUCCCCUUCAUCCAACACAGCCAGAACCCGCGAUUCUACCACAAGUGACCAUCAGAUUAUAUCUUCAACACCACACCCCCCACCCCAUCGUGGGUGAGGGUAUCCCCUGUGUGUCCCAGGCCAAUAAAAUCUACCUGCCACUG